AACGAACGCUGGCGGCAGGCUUAACACAUGCAAGUCGAGCGCCCCGCAAGGGGAGCGGCAGACGGGUGAGUAACGCGUGGGAAUCUACCCAUCUCUACGGAAUAACGCAUGGAAACGUGUGCUAAUACCGUAUACGUCCUUCGGGAGAAAGAUUUAUCGGAGAUGGAUGAGCCCGCGUUGGAUUAGCUAGUUGGUGGGGUAAAGGCCUACCAAGGCGACGAUCAAUAGCUGGUCUGAGAGGAUGAUCAGCCACACUGGGACUGAGACACGGCCCAGACUCCGACGGGAGGCAGCAGUGGGGAAUAUUGGACAAUGGGCGCAAGCCGGAUCCAGCCAUGCCGCGUGAGUGAUGAAGGCCCUAGGGUUGUAAAGCUCUUUCACCGGUGAAGAUAAUGACGGUAACCGGAGAAGAAGCCCCGGCUAACUUCGUGCCAGCAGCCGCCGCCGUAA
rnacentral:rRNA from 1 species